rnacentral:tRNA from 1 species
UUGAUAGUAGCUUAAGUUAAAGUGGAGGAUUCUUGAUCCUUAGAUGUCUAUGGACGACCUAUUAAA